AUUGAACGCUGGCGGCAGGCCUAACACAUGCAAGUCGAGCGGAUGAAGGGAGCUUGCUCCUGGAUUCAGCGGCGGACGGGUGAGUAAUGCCUAGGAAUCUGCCUGGUAGUGGGGGAUAACGUCCGGAAACGGGCGCUAAUACCGCAUACGUCCUGAGGGAGAAAGUGGGGGAUCUUCGGACCUCACGCUAUCAGAUGAGCCUAGGUCGGAUUAGCUAGUUGGUGGGGUAAAGGCCUACCAAGGCGACGAUCCGUAACUGGUCUGAGAGGAUGAUCAGUCACACUGGAACUGAGACACGGUCCAGACUCCUACGGGAGGCAGCAGCGGGGAAUAUUGGACAAUGGGCGAAAGCCUGAUCCAGCCAUGCCGCGUGUGUGAAGAAGGUCUUCGGAUUGUAAAGCACUUUAAGUUGGGAGGAAGGGCAGUAAGUUAAUACCUUGCUGUUUUGACGUUACCAAUAGAAUAAGCACCGGCUAACUUCGUG
rnacentral:rRNA from 1 species